rnacentral:rRNA from 1 species
UACGGUAGGGUCCGAGCGUUGUCCGGAAUUAUUGGGCGUAAAGGGCGCGUAGGCGGCGCGGUAAGUCACUUGUGGAAAUCUCUGAGCUUAACUCAGAACGGCCAAGUGAUACUGCAGUGCUAGAGUGCAGAAGGGGCAAUCGGAAUUCUUGGUGUAGCGGUGAAAUGCGUAGAUAUCAAGAGGAACACCUGAGGUGAAGACGGGUUGCUGGGCUGACACGUGUCGCUGAGGCGCGAAAGCCAGGGGAGCAAACGGG